rnacentral:rRNA from 1 species
AAUGCCUAGGAAUCUGCCUGGUAGUGGGGGACAACGUUUCGAAAGGAACGCUAAUACCGCAUACGUCCUACGGGAGAAAGCAGGGGACCUUCGGGCCUUGCGCUAUCAGAUGAGCCUAGGUCGGAUUAGCUAGUUGGUGGGGUAAUGGCUCACCAAGGCGACGAUCCGUAACUGGUCUGAGAGGAUGAUCAGUCACACUGGAACUGAGACACGGUCCAGACUCCUACGGGAGGCAGCAGUGGGGAAUAUUGGACAAUGGGCGAAAGCCUGAUCCAGCCAUGCCGCGUGUGUGAAGAAGGUCUUCGGAUUGUAAAGCACUUUAAGUUGGGAGGAAGGGCAGUAAGUUAAUACCUUGCUGUUUUGACGUUACCGACAGAAUAAGCACCGGCUAACUCUGUGCCAGCAGCCGCGGUAAUACAGAGGGUGCAAGCGUUAAUCGGAAUUACUGGGCGUAAAGCGCGCGUAGGUGGUUUGUUAAGUUGGAUGUGAAAGCCCCGGGCUCAACCUGGGAACUGCAUCCAAAACUGGCAAGCUAGAGUACGGUAGAGGGUGGUGGAAUUUCCUGUGUAGCGGUGAAAU